rnacentral:rRNA from 1 species
CCUACGGGAGGCAGCAGUGAGGAAUAUUGGUCAAUGGGCGCGAGCCUGAACCAGCCAAGUAGCGUGAAGGAUGACUGCCCUACGGGUUGUAAACUUCUUUUAUAAAGGAAUAAAGUGAGGCACGUGUGCCUUUUUGUAUGUACUUUAUGAAUAAGGAUCGGCCAACUCCGUGCCAGCAGCCGCGGUAAUACGGAGGAUCCGAGCGUUAUCCUGAUUUAUUGGGGUUAAAAGGAGCGUAAAUGGGUUGUUAAGGCCGUUGGGAAAGUUUGCGGCUAAACGGUAAAAUUGGAGUUGAAACUGGCUGUCUUGAGUACAGUAGAGGUGGGUGGAAUUCGUGGUUGAGCGGUGAAAUGCUUAGAGAUCACGAAGAACUCCGAUUGCGAAGGCAGUUCACUGGACUGCAACUGACACUGAGGCUCGAAAGUGUGGGUAGCAAACAGGAUUAGAUACCCCUGUAGUC